UGCUUUUAAACAUUGACAGUUGACAGUAUUUCCACAAAUUACGAGAAGAUAUUAAUUAAGAGGAAUCAUUUGUGAACUUUUAUGGUUGCAUCAUCGAUUUUAGAGACCCUAAGCUUGGUUUUUGUUUUAAGUAUAGUUUAUGUAUAUAGAGAGUGUUUCAAUUACGUUAGUAGUGCCUGUAGUGAGUGCAUAAUUUCGCGCAAACUAUAGUGAAUAUUAGAUUCAGAUUUAUUUGCCAACGUAACUGAUGGCAUUAUCUUUGAAAUAUGUGCUCGUGGAGUGCAAAUUAGUAGCGUGAAAAGUUAAAAUUAAUUAUUACGCUUAUAUGGUUAUGGAGCAUUUAGUUCCACCGGUCUGCCACAACGCGGCGCUAGUGUUUUUCUUACCCCGUAAAACAGAGAAAUUUUCAUUUGCGAAAAAAACUAAUUUAGCGAGAUGAAUUGUGAACUUUGACGCUGAUCGGAGGAUGUCCUUGUCGCACCCUAUAUGCGACAAGGACAGGCAUAUACGCGCGGUAGACAAGGAGGCCAACAGUGACAAAGGACAUGCGAUUUUAGUUCCAUUGUUCUGCCAUAAGGCGGCGCUAGUGUUUCAUACCCGCUAAAACAGACAAAUUUUGAUUUGCGAAAAGAACUAAUUUAGUGAAAUGAAUUGUGAACUUUUGUGAUUGUAUUACCCUAAUUAGACCCUUAGCUUCCUUUUCAUACCCCAUUUGAAUCGUAAAAUGCA